AGGAAGAGAAUGUUACAGAACAAUUUUCACAGACCCAAAAUGAAUGAAGAGAAAAUGAAGAAGGAGAUAGAAAUAUCAUAUAUUGGUUAAGACAAGCUGUCAUGGAUAUUAAUGGAUCUAUUUACAUAGAAAAUUCAGUUACAGAACAUGACGCAGGAGACAGCUACAGUGGUGACAACAGAAGCAGUGCUGCAAGUAAACAGAAGGGGAGGAAGAGAAAAUUUGGAGGUUUGUCAACAGAGCAGCGGAUGACCCUAAUAAAUAGUAACAAAAAAUAUGUUAACGCUGCAAAGAAAUCAGAGGAGCCAAAAAUGUCUAGAGAUUACAUCUGUAACUGUUCAAGAACAUGUAGUGACAAAAUAAGCAUACAGGAGA